CCACCAAUUAAUUGUGAGAGCCUAUAAUAUAAUUUCCAUCCGAAAUGCAAUAAUAAAUAGUCAAGAUAGCAGAGUAGGCUCUUUCAACAAUGAGACCAACGUUGAGGAAGAUGGUCUUGAUCGCGCUGUUGGGCCGGGACCAGCCCCGCAGAAAGCGCAGGUCUGUGUGGGUCCAGAGAUGGUUAAAUGUCCCGAAAGCAGGCAGGGGAGUUCCACCGUCUAAUUCAAGAGCUUCGACUGUUUGGAGAGGAAUUCCGAAGUUACUUUCGUCUGGACCGAAGCCAGUUCGAUCACCUGCUCCAGAUGGUUGGAGCCAGGAUCACCCGGAUGGAUACCAACUACCGGGAGUCCAUCAGCCCAGUUGAACGCCUGGCCUUUUGUCUCCGAUUCUUGGCGACAGGGGACUCCUACAGGACCAUAGGAUUCAGCUUCCGAGUUGGACGGUCCAUGGUGGCAGGCGUUGUCCCCUGUGGCACAAGCCAUUUGGGACUGUCUGGUUGGUGAAAACAUGCCUGUCCCCAAGGAGGAAGACUGGAGGGCCAUCACUGCCGAGUUCCUGGAGAGGUGGAAUUUCCCCAGCUGUCUUGGCUCCAUUGACGGGAAACAUGUAGUAAUCCAGGCUCCACCGUGCUCAGGUUCGCAGUUCUACAACUACAAGGGUACAUAUUCAGUUGUACUCUUGGCUGUAGUAGAUGCCAUCUACUGUUUCCGUGUUGUCGAUGUUGAUGCUUACGGCAAGGGAAGUGAUGGCGUGACCCAUCUGAGACUGCCUUUGGCCAGGCACUUCAGGAUGGCACCCUGUAUAUUCCACUACCUGCAUCACUCCCUGGGGCUGAAGACCUGGGACCUGUUCACAUGUGUUCUCCACAACUACCUGCGGAGGAGGUCAUUCCAGGAGCCGCUCCGGAUGGAGAUGGGCACGCCAAAUGGUCACCUUCCUGAUGUCACCAGGGCAGGUGCCAACAACGCCCCCAGACAGGCACUCCAGGUGAGGGAGAAGCUGACCACCUACUUCUCAUCGCCAGCAGGUGAAGUCCCAUGGCAGUAUGCCGUGGAAUGAAACGGCUCUUUUAAUUAAGAGCCCCAUAACACAAAGCUUAUUUUAAGAACCAUCCACUGUUGUCCAUAAAAUUGCAUUUUUCAAUUUGGGAGUAAAAACAGUCAUUAUUAAAAGACAAUUGGACGCCAGUUAUCGAUGAGCAGCACUUCUUUUUUAUGCUUAGGUAUCAGUGUUAUUAACCCCUGGCUCAUUGUAGGAGGGAGAGCAUUGUUUUUAAUACUCUCUAAAAAAGACUUCAAAUAGGAAGGGAGCUACUUGUUCAGAAAAUUAUUUGUAAAAUUCUGAUGUAAUUCCAUCAACACCUGGUGAUUUAUUUUUCUUUAGAUGUUUAAUAGACUCUAUAAUCUCUUCAACUUUGAUGAGUUCAUCACACUGUUAAGAUUCUAUAUCACUGAUAGAGUGAACAUUAUUCAGUGAGUUAAAAAAAAAACAUCUGUGGAUUCCUGACAGUAAGUAGAGCUAUACAAUUUUCUGUAAAGAUUGCUACAGUAUUUAUAGAUUCAUUUUUGGUCAUCUGUAAUAACACCAUCAAUGUUUCAUUUAUGGAUAGUGUUAUUUUUAGAGUGAAAUUUCUCAAGUCUAAAUAAAUAGGAUGAAUUCUGUUCUCCCUCCUCAAUCUAUUUUUUCCUCAAUCUAAUAAAGUCUCCGUCUGCUUUCAAUUUCUA